UUUUUUUUUUCUUUUUUUUUUUUUGAGAUGAAGUCUCGCCCUGUCACCCAGGCUGAAGUGCAAUGGCGCGAUCUCAGCUCACUGCAACCUCUGCCUCCCGAGUUCAAGCAAUUCUCCUGCCUCAGCCUCCCGAGUAGCUGGGAUUACAGGCCCAUGCCACCAUGCACUGCUAAGUUUUUGUAUCUUUAGUAGGUAUGGGGUUUCACCAUGUUGGCCAGGCUGGCUUGGAACUCCUGACCUCGUGAUCCACCUGCUGUGGCCUCCCACAGUGCUGGGAUUACAGGUGUGAGCCACCACACCUGGCCUCUGUCUUUCCUCGAUCCUUCCUCCAGAUUUUGGCUUCACCUUCAGUUUGGCGAGGCAUGCCUUCCAGACCUAACAGGGUACAGCCUAAAAGAAGAAGGUUGAUUUUUUUUUCUUCCCAUAGCUCUCUUCUAGACGCAAUAAGAUUUUUUUCAUAAAGCUCCCUAGUCUACAUUUUGUGCAUCUUAUUGGCCCAAAUAUAGGAUACAUUCCCACUUCCUGAACCAGUCACUGGCAAGGGGACUGGGUUUAUUUUGGACCAAUCAGACUCACCUCUGAAGCUCGGGAGUCGUGGGGAGUCUACGUUCCCCUAAAGCCACUGGCUGUGUGGGAGAGUGGAGAGCACCCACACCAAAUCAGGGUUUGUUGUGAAUUUUUAGAAGUAGAAAUGAGGGCUGGGCAUAGUGGCUCAUGUCUGUAAUCCCAAUACUUUGGGAGGCCAAGGUGGGAGGAUUGCUUGAGCCUGGAGUUCCAGACCAAUUUGGGCAACAUAGUAAGACCCCACCUCUACAAAAAAAAGAAAAAGAAAAAAGAAAUUGGAACUUGGUAAACUAUCAACAGCGUCCAUGAUAGGAUCUCCAAAGGAAAGGGGGGCAACAGGAAAGCUCUCCAGAGGAGGUGGCCUAUGAGCUGGGUCUUUGUAUGAGUCUGUUCUUACAUUGCUGAUAAAGACAUACCUGAGACUGGGUAAUUUAUAAAGAAAAAAAGGUUUAAUGGACUCACAGUUCCACGUGGCUGGGGAGGCCUCACAAUCAUGGUGGAAGCCAAAAGGCAUGUCUUACAUGGUGGCAAACAAGAGAAAGCAAGCCAAGUGAAAGGGGUUUCCCCUUAUAGAACCAUCAGGUCUCGUGAGACCUAUUCACCACCAUGAGAACAGUAUGGGGGAAACUGCCCCCAUGAUUCAAUUAUCUCCCACUGGGUCCCCCGCACAACAUGUGGGAAUUAUGGGAGCAAUUCAAGAUGAGAUUUGGAUGGGGACACAGUCAAACCAUAUCAGUCUUCAACAACCGGCAGGAGUUAUCUGUGAGACAAGAGGGAGAAGGUGAUCCCAGGCACUGGGCUCAGCAUCUGAAAAAGCAUAGCAAGAUGUUCAAAGGACCAGGAAACAUUUGGCAGGACUGGAGAGUUGGGGACACAAGGGACAUAAGAAAUCCAAGUCUGGCUGAAAAAAAAUUUGCAGGGCUAACAUGGUGCCGGCCCUCAUUGGCUGUGCUAAGGAGCUUGAACCUUAAUCAGUGGGAAACAGGGGAGUCUAGUUUGUAUAAGGAUGAUUUUGAGGACGUGGGAAUGUCCUAGUAUACGUGGGAGUGAGUUGGAGUACUUCUAAUUAGGAGCAUUGCUGUGUGCCUUUCAAACCCACCAUGGCCCCACCAGGUUUCCUGAGCACUCUCAGAGCCAUAGGUGGUGUCUGCAGCAGCAACAGCAGGUGAGGAGCUAGGACUACUGCCUCUCUGUGGGCCAGGUAGCAAGGACAGAGGUACGUAGAUAGGAGGGAAUGAACCCGGUCCCCUCCCAGGAGCUCAGAAUGAAGCCACCAGCCAUGGGCAUAAAGAGAAGCAGGCUUGGAGCAGGCCCAAUCACUUCCUGGUGAAUCGCAUCAUCCCCACACUCACUGUGCAAUCAGCAGCCUGGCCAGCCAUCGAGCCCUGGUAAGGUGGCUGCUGUCUCAACCCCUGCCAGGAGGAAGGGAAACAUCCAGUUCCCAGGAGGGAGUCCAGUGAGGAAACCAUGACCUACACAUCCUUCCAUUCCCAGACUCUUCUACACACACAUUUGCUUCUCCCUUGAACUUCUGAGCUCUGGUUCCCUCUCCCCUUCCCUUACCAGCUUCCAAGUGGGGUCUGACCUGGCCCAUUUAUUUCCUCCCCACCUGUUGGUCCCUCAAGCCCCUGCAGUCUGACUAUUGAUACAGCUGAGGACACCAAUGACCCCCCCAGUGACCAUUUCUAAGAGCCAUCUGAGACCCCAUCCUCUCUGACUUCUGAGUGGCAUUUCUCACUUUGAACAGCAUUCUUCUUCUUAAGUUCAACUCAGAGUCUGGAGCCCUCCCAGGCCUUGAUCUGGGCAGUAUUCCAUGGCUGCUUUCCUGCUUCCUGCCCCUCUGGCCGUCCCUGUCUGCCCCUUUCACCACCUCUUUCUGUCUUUGAGCCCCAUGU
ensembl:lncRNA